GAUGAACGCUGGCGGCGUGCCUAAUACAUGCAAGUCGAGCGAACAGACGAGGAGCUUGCUCCUCUGACGUUAGCGGCGGACGGGUGAGUAACACGUGGAUAACCUACCUAUAAGACUGGGAUAACUUCGGGAAACCGGAGCUAAUACCGGAUAAUAUAUUGAACCGCAUGGUUCAAUAGUGUAAGACGGUUUUGCUGUCACUUAUAGAUGGAUCCGCGCCGCAUUAGCUAGUUGGUAAGGUAACGGCUUACCAAGGCAACGAUGCGUAGCCGACCUGAGAGGGUGAUCGGCCACACUGGAACUGAGACACGGUCCAGACUCCUACGGGAGGCAGCAGUAGGGAAUCUUCCGCAAUGGGCGAAAGCCUGACGGAGCAACGCCGCGUGAGUGACGAAGGUCUUCGGAUCGUAAAACUCUGUUAUUAGGGAAGAACAAAUGUGUAAGUAACUAUGCACGUCUUGACGGUACCUAAUCAGAAAGCCACGGCUAACUACGUG
rnacentral:rRNA from 1 species